UGCAAGUCGAACGGUAACAGGAUGUGCUUGCACAUCGCUGACGAGUGGCGGACGGGUGAGUAAUGCUUGGGAACUUGCCUUUGCGAGGGGGAUAACAGUUGGAAACGACUGCUAAUACCGCAUAAUGUCUUCGGACCAAACGGGGCUCCGGCUCCGGCGCAAAGAGAGGCCCAAGUGAUAUUAGCUAGUUGGUAAGGUAACGGCUUACCAAGGCGACGAUCUCUAGCUGUUCUGAGAGGAAGAUCAGCCACACUGGGACUGAGACACGGCCCAGACUCCUACGGGAGGCAGCAGUGGGGAAUAUUGCACAAUGGGGGAAACCCUGAUGCAGCCAUGCCGCGUGUGUGAAGAAGGCCUUCGGGUUGUAAAGCACUUUCAGUUGUGAGGAAAAGUUAGUAGUUAAUACCUGCUAGCCGUGACGUUAACAACAGAAGAAGCACCGGCUACUCCGUGCCAGCAGCCGCGGUAAUACGGAGGGUGCGAGCGUUAAUCGGAAUUACUGGGCGUAAAGCGCACGCAGGCGGUUUGUUAAGCU
rnacentral:rRNA from 1 species